UAAGAUCAUCUUCCAUAGGGUGGCAGCAA
rnacentral:piRNA from 1 species